rnacentral:rRNA from 1 species
GACAGAGGGUGCUAGCGUUGUUCGGAAUGACUGGGCGUAAAGGGCGCGUAGGCUGUUAUUCAAGUCAGAUGUGAAAGCCCCGGGCUUAACCUGGGAACUGCAUUUGAUACUGGAUGACUGGAGUGCGAGAGAGGAAAGCGGAAUUCCUAGUGUAGAGGUGAAAUUCGUAGAUAUUAGGAGGAACACCAGAGGCGAAGGCGGCUUUCUGGCUCGCAACUGACGCUGAGGCGCGAAAGCGUGGGGAGCAAACAGG